GCAUCCAUGGCUUAAUGGUUACAGCACCCAACUCAUAAUUGGAGAAUUCGUAGGUUCAAUUCUUACCGGAUGCA
rfam:Daucus carota subsp. sativus cultivar DH1 chromosome 1, whole genome shotgun sequence.